AUGCACGCUGGCGGCGUGCCUAAUACAUGCCAGUCGAGCGAACAGACGAGGAGCUUGCUCCUCUGACGUUAGCGGCGGACGGGUGAGUAACACGUGGAUAACCUACCUAUAAGACUGGGAUAACUUCGGGAAACCGGAGCUAAUACCGGAUAAUAUAUUGAACCGCAUGGUUCAAUAGUGAAAGACGGUUUUGCUGUCCCUUAUAAUUGAAUCCGCGCCGCAUUAGCUAGUUGGUAAGGUAACGGCUUACCAAGGCGACGAUGCGUAGCCGACCUGAGAGGGUGAUCGGCCACACUGGAACUGAGACACGGUCCAGACUCCUACGGGAGGCAGCAGUAGGGAAUCUUCCGCAAUGGGCGAAAGCCUGACGGAGCAACGCCGCGUGAGUGAUGAAGGUCUUCGGAUCGUAAAACUCUGUUAUUAGGGAAGAACAAAUGUGUAAGUAACUAUGCACGUCUUGACGGUACCUAAUCAGAAAGCCACGGCUAACUACGUG
rnacentral:rRNA from 1 species